CUCUCUCUCGCUCUCUCGCUCAAAGCUGGUUCUUAGCAAUCCGACCUCAGUUGCUAUCACAACUACAGAAUCAAGCAAGGUCUCUCUAUCACUGCCCUAAAUUGGUGAUUUAUGUUCGUCUCAGUCAGGUGAAGAAGAAAAGUUACAACUUUGAUGCACUAUUGUCAUCGCUAAUUAUUCCUGGGAUUGGUCUUGGAUAGGUAUUCUUAAUAUUGAAGAGGUGCCUAUAGUUUUUUUUUUUUGGCUAAUGAUAUGAUAACAUUGUUUGUUGUUUUUUAAUUUGAUAUGCUGCUCUGCUUUGGUGGUCAAAAAAUAUACAUA